CAAGAAAUCACUAAUCUCCC
rnacentral:miRNA from 1 species